CCCUUAGAUGUCCUGGGCCGCACGCGCGUUACACUGAAGGAGGCAGCGUGUACUCCUGGAUCGAAAGAUUUGGGUAACCCGCGAAUCUCCUUCGUGCUAGGGAUUGAGGUUUGCAAUUAUCCUUCAUGAACGAGGAAUUCCCAGUAAGUGCAAGUCAUAAGCUUGCGCUGACUACGUCCCUGCCCUUUGUACACACCGCCCGUCGCUACUACCGAUUGAAUGAUUUAGUGAGGACUUCGGACUGGGACCGAUGCGGCUUUCGGGCUGCGUCGGUAUUCUGGAAAGAUGUCCAAACUGUNUNAUUUAGNGGAAGUAAAANUCGUANCA
rnacentral:rRNA from 1 species